GGAGGCGUGUUGUCACCGGUGUGGCGCCUGGUCUUCAAAACCAGUGGACGGCAGAGAUGUCGUUGGUAGGUUCGACUCCUAUACGCCUCCGCCA
rnacentral:tRNA from 1 species